rnacentral:rRNA from 1 species
UACGUAGGGCGCAAGCGUUGUCCGGAAUUAUUGGGCGUAAAGAGCUCGUAGGCGGCUUGUCACGUCGGAUGUGAAAGCCCGGGGCUUAACUCCGGGUCUGCAUUCGAUACGGGCUAGCUAGAGUGUGGUAGGGGAGAUCGGAAUUCCUGGUGUAGCGGUGAAAUGCGCAGAUAUCAGGAGGAACACCGGUGGCGAAGGCGGUUCUCUGGGCAUUACCUGACGCUGAGGAGCGAAAGUGUGGGGAGCGAACAGG